GUGACCUCAAAUCAGGUAGGACUACCCGCUGAACUUAAGCAUAUCAAUAAGCGGAGGAAAAGAAACUAACAAGGAUUCCCCUAGUAACUGCGAGUGAAGUGGGAAAAGCUCAAAUUUAAAAUCUGGCAGUCUCUGGCUGUCCGAGUUGUAAUCUAGAGAAGUGUUAUCCGCGCUGGACCGUGUACAAGUCUCCUGGAAUGGAGCGUCAUAGAGGGUGAGAAUCCCGUCUUUGACACGGACUGCCAGGGCUUUGUGAUGCGCUCUCAAAGAGUCGAGUUGUUUGGGAAUGCAGCUCAAAAUGGGUGGUAAAUUCCAUCUAAAGCUAAAUAUUGGCGAGAGACCGAUAGCGAACAAGUACCGUGAGGGAAAGAUGAAAAGAACUUUGGAAAGAGAGUUAAACAGUACGUGAAAUUGCUGAAAGGGAAACGCUUGAAGUCAGUCGCGUUGGUCAGGGAUCAACCUUGCUUUUGCUAGGUGUACUUUCUGGUUGACGGGUCAGCAUCAAUUUUGAUCAUUGGAAAAAGAUUAGGGGAAUGUGGCAUCCUUGGAUGUGUUAUAGCCCUUGGUUGUAUACAAUGGUUGGGAUUGAGGAGCUCAGCACGCCGCAAGGCCGGGUUUACCACGUACGUGCUAG
rnacentral:rRNA from 2 species